ACACUCCUACGGGAGGCAGCAGUGGGGAAUAUUGCACAAUGGGCGCAAGCCUGAUGCAGCCAUGCCGCGUGUAUGAAGAAGGCCUUCGGGUUGUAAAGUACUUUCAGCGGGGAGGAAGGCGAUAAGGUUAAUAACCUUGUUGAUUGACGUUACCCGCAGAAGAAGCACCGGCUAACUCCGUGCCAGCAGCCGCGGUAAUACGGAGGGUGCAAGCGUUAAUCGGAAUUACUGGGCGUAAAGCGCACGCAGGCGGUCUGUCAAGUCGGAUGUGAAAUCCCCGGGCUCAACCUGGGAACUGCAUUCGAAACUGGCAGGCUAGAGUCUUGUAGAGGGGGGUAGAAUUCCAGGUGUAGCGGUGAAAUGCGUAGAGAUCUGGAGGAAUACCGGUGGCGAAGGCGGCCCCCUGGACAAAGACUGACGCUCAGGUGCGAAAGCGUGGGGAGCAAACAGGAUUAGAAACCCGGGUAGUCCCAUGA
rnacentral:rRNA from 1 species